GAACUUUAUUAUAAGUCAACGUAAAAUAAGAGCAAAGUGAGGCCUGAGCAGGGAACUCUCAAGAGAGAGAGCAGGUGGUCUCCAGGCAGAGAACGACAGAGAGGACCGUGGCCUUCUUGGAAUUCAUGACUGCUCCCUGUGUACCAGGACAGCUGGGGACCACCUUCUGAACUCUUUGCAAUCAGGUGUUCAACUCCUCCUUCACGUCAGGCGGUGGCGUUUAUGACCUUAGUUGGUCCUCUUCAGAACUGUCAUGGUGGCCAUCCGAUUUAGAGGGGGGCUUCAUCUGCAAGUCGACCCAUGUCCAGGUGGGCCCUGGGGUCAGUAGCUGGUCAGAAGUUACCUUAGUGCACCUGCUGCUAAAGGACACUUCCUUCUCAGACAGACGGAGACACCAAUAGCCAUCACUCCUAGUGUCAUACCAACCUCAAUGGACCCUGUCAAGAGUCAGUCCCAUCCACCCCACCUUUUUUUUUUUUAAUUUUUUGUAGUUGUAGAUGGACAGCAUGCCUUUAUUUUAUUUGUUUACUUUUAUGGGGCGCCGAGGAUGGAACCCAGUGCCUCACAGGGGCUAGGCGCGCUUUCUCUGCCUGAGCCACAACCCCAGCCCUCAUUCUCUCCUUUUGACAUAUUUUCCCCUUAGCUCCUUUGCUUCUAUUCAUUUUCUACAAAUAAAUUCAUGUGAGAAAUGGAAGGGGAAAGAAUACAUAGACAAAAAAAAAUGUAUAACUCAGAGAGUCUGUGUGUGUGUGUGUGUGUAUAGUCAAAAGUCAGGGAGCUCAACAAUGCAUAGAUGGGGAUCAGAGAGAAGGAACAGCUUGGUGAUUUGGUUGCUCAGAGAAAUGGUGGGAUCUGAAGAGGUCUAUCUUUGAAGGGUAGAAAAAGUGAAGAUAUUCCAAGCUGUGAGAACAGUAUGACCCAACUGGAUAGCACUGGCACAUUUGGCCAAGGGUGAGGAGACCUGGAGACUUGGAACCAAGAAUUCCUGUGGGAAACCAGGCUGAAAACACGGCGGUGAGAACCCGAGGGCUUUAGGGGAGGCUGGAUGGUUGUAAUAGUUCUGAGGCAAGAAACACAGACUCCCCAAGAUCCGUUUGAGAGUGGGCAGGGGACAUGCCAGGCAGGAGAUGGGGCUGGGGAGCCGCUUCCUGAUUGCCACACAAGAUCUGGCUCAGCGUCUGUUGCCAGCGCUGGGUUUUCUCUGGUUCCUUCUAAACUUGCUCUUCCAUCAUUUAAAAAUAAAAUAAACUAGAGGCUGGGAGUGUAGCUCAGUGGUACAGUGCUUGCCAAGCAUGUGUGAAUCCCCAACUCUAUCCCCAACAUCACCAAAAACAUUAGAAAUAAAAAUAAAACACCUUUAUUGAGAUUUAAUUUAUAUAUCACACAAUUUACUCAGAGUGUAGAAUUCAUUGUUUUUAGGAUAUUUUCAUGGUUGUUAUAAACAUCACCAAAAUUUAAUCCUAAGAAACCACUAAUCUACUUUCUGUCUCUAUAGAUUUUCCUAUUCUGAACAUUUCUUAUAAAUAAAUCAUUCAAUAUGUGAUCUUUUGUGUCUGAUUUCCUCCACUUAGCAUAAUAUUUCCAAGGCUUAUCUAUUUAAUAUCAUGCAUAGGAACUUCAUCCUUUUUAUGGCUUAAUAAUAUUCCAUGGUUCAGACAUACCACAUUUUGCUUAUACAUUCAUUAGUUGGUGGACAAGGGUUUUUUUUCCUACUUUUGCACUAUCACAAAUAAUGCUGUACAAGUUUUUGUGUGAGUAUAGAUUUUCAUUUCCCAUGGGUCUCUACCUUGAAGUGGAGGUGCUGGAUUGCACUUGCUAUCUAUAUUAUACUCCGUAUUUCUGACCUAUGUCUUUGCACACUCUCUGAUGAAUCUUACUAUUUGUUCAUUCAUUUUUUAACCAGGCUUAUAUUUCUCAGCCCAUUAUAACUCUGAAUUUCAUCCAGCCAGCAGAGUCUCCACCAUAACUUAAGUCAGCUUCUCUUGUGAGUUUCAAAGCCAAGAAGGAAGGAGGUGGUGGGCCAGAGCCAUCUGCUCUGCCCAGGAAAGCAGAUUUGGUCACAGGGAGAGUCACAGCAGCCCACGCUCAGGCUACCCUAUGCCUCCUACACUUACUUGUUAAAGGAAACCAAAUGUCUGUCAACCUCCCCCCCGAGUCUGUCUCCAGCACAGCGGACUUCAGCUCCAUCCCAGGUCCUCUGCUAGAACUCUCUCCUGCUGCUGAUGGAGACACGUUUUCCUGAAGGAGGGAUCUCAGAAUCUUAGAACAGGAAACAAUCAAACCCUAUCUCAAAAUAAAGCAGACUGGGAUGCAACUACUCAGUGGCAGAGCACCCCUGGGUUCAGUCCCCAGUAUUGGGGGAGCAGGUAGAAUCAACAGGAGAGGAAAAAAAGCAAACCCUUGCAACCCUCGGUCACAGCGAUGUGGUUUGGAGAAAAACAAACAAAUUGUUUAAAUACAGCCACUGCUGAGGUAAGAGAGAGGUCGGAGUCACUUGCACCUCGUAUCUUCAGAUCCUAGGACACCUCAUCCCCGGGAGCCAAUGCGAAGACAAGGUAAUGAACAGCACUAAAAAAUGUGGGUUGCCCAGAGCCAGCUAAUUGACCUGUGAUCGAUACCAACAGCCAUCAGCGUGCAGUUAAGCAAUAGCAAAUGAUUGACCCGCGCCAAG
rnacentral:lncRNA from 1 species